CCGCGCGGUGGCUGCUGGGUGCCGCAAGGCUUCCCUUCCUUCUCCUCUCCCCUCCCCCAUCCCUCCCCGCCCCCUGGGCCGCUCCGCUCCCUGGCGUGACUCGGCACUGAGAGUCCCGGGAGAAGACGCCGCGGUCGCCGCCUCUUCUGUCCAGGCCUCGGCCUUCCUGAGCGUCUCUGCUUCCUCUCCCAGAUCGUCUUCUCCUUCAGUUUCGAAGCCAGUGGCGUCGCGGCCACCCUGCCGGGCUCUCUGUGAGGAUGGUGGGGGUGAAGCCCGUCGGGAGCGACCCGGAUUUCCAGCCAGAGCUGAGCGGCGCGGGCUCCAGACUCGCCGUGGUCAAGUUCACCAUGAGAGGGUGCGGGCCAUGUUUGAGGAUUGCGCCAGCAUUCAGUUCAAUGAGUAAUAAAUAUCCACAGGCUGUUUUCUUGGAAGUCGAUGUACAUCAGUGUCAGGGAACAGCUGCCACCAACAAUAUAUCAGCAACACCUACAUUUUUGUUUUUUCGAAACAAAGUGAGAAUUGAUCAAUAUCAAGGAGCAGAUGCUGUGGGAUUAGAAGAAAAAAUCAAGCAGCACUUAGAAAAUGACCCUGGAAGCGGUGAAGACACAGAUAUUCCAAAAGGCUAUAUGGAUUUAAUGCCUUUUAUUAACAAAGCUGGUUGUGAAUGUCUUAAUGAAAGUGAUGAGCAUGGAUUUGACAACUGUUUACGAAAAGACACGACCUUCUUGGAAUCUGACUGUGAUGAACAGCUACUUAUUACUGUGGCAUUCAAUCAACCUGUUAAGCUUUAUUCCAUGAAAUUUCAAGGACCAGAUAAUGGUCAAGGCCCUAAAUAUGUAAAAAUUUUUAUCAACCUACCCCGAUCUAUGGAUUUUGAAGAGGCAGAACGAAGUGAACCAACUCAAGCUCUGGAACUGACAGAGGAUGAUAUUAAAGAAGAUGGCAUUGUUCCACUUCGUUAUGUUAAGUUUCAGAAUGUUAACAGUGUAACUAUAUUUGUUCAAUCGAAUCAAGGUGAAGAGGAAACAACACGAAUUUCAUAUUUUACUUUUAUUGGUACUCCAGUCCAGGCAACAAAUAUGAAUGACUUCAAACGACUUUUUUAAUCCAACUCAAAUGAACUAAAAACAGAAGAUAUUUUAAAAUGAAGUAAUAUAAAGAUUGACCUUGUCUUACUCUACUCCCCUCCUUGCUUCUCUGCUCAUCUAGCACCUGUCUGCUCUCACCCUUCCCAUGUUCUCGCCAUUGUUGGUGCAAGAUUUCUACAGCUUCUAUCAUCUGGAUCAGCCUUGUUACCUAGGUUUCCUCAACCAUCUCUUUCUUCAGAUCUCAUCCUAGUUGUGUUUCUCAAUUGGCCUUUUGUUUUGGCUUUCGUUUUGGGCUUGCAACUAGGUGCUUUAAUUUUAUUACCAUACCGUGUUGCUCACUAGCCUUUUUACUUUUUUUACUUUCUACCGUUUUAUAUUUAAUUUUGUACUACAUUUUGAGAGGUAAAAUCACAAUAAACUUAAAUUGUUAUAAGUGGUUUUAGAUUUAACUAGUUGUUGAAUAAUGUUUUAAUCCAUUCUAAACUUUAAAUUUUAUUUCCUAGGAACUAUAGAAUUCUUUUGGAAAUCAAAUAUAGCAGUUGCAUCAAGUUCUUUUAUAUUUGUGCUAGUUUAAUAUGUUGAUUGCGUUUCAGUUGAGGGGUGUUAGUUUUCUUUUCCUCGUUGGAAUGUUAGCCCCAAAGUCCUUUUGAUGAUUGCUUGGGGCAUGUCCUCCGCUUUUGCCCAAGUGAGCUCAAAACCAGUUGAAGGACUUAUGGACUGAAUAUUAGGCUGGGUUAACAUAUUAAUAUAGAAGAUCAAUGGACUCUCUGCAUAAAUAUAAAUAAAAAAUAUUUGAAUAAAUAUUUUUUACACCUAAUUUUUAUGUACGUAGAUUUUGGUUUGUCUGAGGUGUAAUAUAAAGACUUAAGAAUGAAUAAAAGAGCUUUACGUUUGGGAUGACAAUCCAUGUUGGAAUGUUGAAUUUCUUCUUUUUUACAGAAAAUACACAUUGGCAAGUUGAGAGUUAUCAGCCUGUGAAACAGUAGUUGGCAAAAAAGGAGAAAGCCACUAAGGUGCAAAAGACACUGGACAACCAUAUUGCAAUCAGAUCUACAGCUCCUGGAUAAUUGCUUGAUUCUCGCCAGAGACUGUCAAUGUUUCAUUCAUUGCCAUUACCAAUAAAUCAUUGCUUUUGUUCAGAUGGUAUCACUAGUGUUUCCAUUGUAAUCUUGACACAUGCAAUUGUAAAUAAAAGUCACUACUUUUGCCAAGCUUAA